AACAACGGAGAGUUUGAUCCUGGCUCAGGAUGAACGCUAGCGGCAGGCUUAACACAUGCAAGUCGAGGGGCAGCGGGGAGGAAGCUUGCUUUCUCCGCCGGCGACCGGCGCACGGGUGAGUAACACGUAUGCAACCUGCCCCUGUCAGGGGGACAACCCGCCGAAAGGCGGGCUAAACCCGCGUACAUGCCACCGGGGCAUCCCGGAGGCAGGAAAGGCUUCGGCCGGACAGGGAUGGGCAUGCGGCGCAUUAGGCAGUAGGCGGGGUAACGGCCCACCUAACCGACGAUGCGUAGGGGUUCUGAGAGGAAGGUCCCCCACACUGGUACUGAGACACGGACCAGACUCCUACGGGAGGCAGCAGUGAGGAAUAUUGGUCAAUGGUCGGGAGACUGAACCAGCCAAGCCGCGUGAGGGAUGAAGGUACAGAGUAUCGUAAACCUCUUUUGUCAGGGAACAAAGGCGGGGACGUGUCCCCGGAUGAGUGUACCUGAAGAAAAAGCAUCGGCUAACUCCGUGCCAGCAGCCGCGGUAAUACGGAGGAUGCGAGCGUUAUCCGGAUUUAUUGGGUUUAAAGGGUGCGCAGGCGGUCUGUUAAGUCAGCGGUCAAAGCCCGGGGCUCAACCCCGGCCCGCCGUUGAAACUGGCAGUCUCGAGUUGGAGAGAAGUAUGCGGAAUGCGCGGUGUAGCGGUGAAAUGCAUAGAUAUCGCGCAGAACUCCGAUUGCGAAGGCAGCAUGCCGGCUCCACACUGACGCUGAGGCACGAAAGCGUGGGUAUCGAACAGGAUUAGAUACCCUGGUAGUCCACGCAGUAAACGAUGAAUGCUGGCUGUCCGGGGGGACUGACCCCUGGGUGGCGAAGCGAAAGCGAUAAGCAUUCCACCUGGGGAGUACGCCGGCAACGGUGAAACUCAAAGGAAUUGACGGGGGCCCGCACAAGCGGAGGAACAUGUGGUUUAAUUCGAUGAUACGCGAGGAACCUUACCCGGGCUCAAACGGGGAGUGACUCAGGCAGAGACGCCUGUUUCCCACGGGACACUCCCCGAGGUGCUGCAUGGUUGUCGUCAGCUCGUGCCGUGAGGUGUCGGCUUAAGUGCCAUAACGAGCGCAACCCCCGCGUGCAGUUGCUAACAGAUAACGCUGAGGACUCUGCACGGACUGCCGGCGCAAGCCGCGAGGAAGGCGGGGAUGACGUCAAAUCAGCACGGCCCUUACGUCCGGGGCGACACACGUGUUACAAUGGGUGGUACAGCGGGAAGCCAGGCGGCGACGCCGAGCGGAACCCGAAAUCCACUCUCAGUUCGGAUCGGAGUCUGCAACCCGACUCCGUGAAGCUGGAUUCGCUAGUAAUCGCGCAUCAGCCAUGGCGCGGUGAAUACGUUCCCGGGCCUUGUACACACCGCCCGUCAAGCCAUGGGAGCCGAGGGCGCUUGAAGUGCGUCGCCGCGAGGCGCGCCCUAGAGCGAAAUCGGUGACUGGGGCUAAGUCGUAACAAGGUAGCCGUACCGGAAGGUGCGGCUGGAACACCUCCUUUCUGGA
rnacentral:rRNA from 2 species